ACAAAGGCUCUUUUAAGAGCCACCACACAUGUAUUUUAAACAGCUGU
rfam:Larimichthys crocea isolate SSNF unplaced genomic scaffold scaffold2941, whole genome shotgun sequence.